UGGUAAUGGGGUUGAUGCAAAAACAAGAGCUGAGCAAAGUAAUCCUUCAGCUAGGUGUCAAUUCAAGCCUUGUUCUCUUUGCGAUGAGAAGCAGAGAGGAUGAUGAGAUGACAGUUUGUA